rnacentral:rRNA from 1 species
UACGGGGGGGGCAAGCGUUGUUCGGAAUUACUGGGCGUAAAGGGCUCGUAGGCGCCAACUAAGUCGGAUGUGAAAUCCCCAAGCUUAACUUGGGAACUGCAUCCGAUACUGGAUGGCUUGAAUCCGGGAGAGGGAUGCAGAAUUCCAGGUGUAGCGGUGAAAUGCGUAGAUAUCUGGAGGAAUACCGGUGGCGAAGGCGGCAUCCUGGACCGGCAUUGACGCUGAGGAGCGAAAGCUGAGGGGAGCAAACGGG